rnacentral:rRNA from 1 species
UCAGACGAUGCGUCAUGCAUAUCAAUAAGCGGAGGAAAAGAAACUAACAAGGAUUCCCCUAGUAACGGCGAGUGAAGCGGAAAGAGCUCAAAUUUGAAAUCUUAAAGGGUUUCCCUUGACGAAUUGUAGUUUAAAGAAGUGUUUUCUGUUGAGGUUUUGGUAAAAGUUCUUUGGAAUAGGACAUCAUAGAGGGUGAGAAUCCCGUAUUUGACCUUUACUUUCAACUUUGUGAUACACUUUCAAAGAGUCGGAUUGUUUGGGAAUGCAGUCCAAAAUGGGUGGUAAAUUUCAUCUAAAGCUAAAUAUUGGCGAGAGACCGAUAGCGAACAAGUACCGUGAGGGAAAGAUGAAAAGAACUUUGAAAAGAGAGUUAAACAGUACGUGAAAUUGUCAAAAGGGAAGCGUUUGACACCAGUGUUGUUUUUCUGAAAAUCAAUUAAAGAACUGUUUAUGCUAAGUUGUUUAGACUUUAUCAGCUAUCUGUUUAGUUUUGAGCUUUUCUUUAAUGCACUUUUCAGUUAACAAGUCAACAUCAAUUUCUUUUGCUGUAAAAAAGCUUGAGGAAGGUGGCUUGAGAUUCGUCUUAAGUGUUUAUAGCCUCUUGCCUAUGCAGUCGGAGAGAUUGAGGUCUGCAGCGUAGAUCCUUCGGGGCUAAAUGCAUUUGUGCUAAGUUAUAGCAUUUUAUAGACAACUUGUUGACUAUGAUUUGUCUUGUAGCUUACUCGCUUAUGUUAUUUUACCUACGCUUAGGAUGUUGAAGUCAUCGUAUCGCGC